UUUGCAUUUUAUGUAGUUAUGCUAAAUAGUGAUAGGUUUCCUAUGAUUUGUUCAUAUUGUUGAAUAAUUUUUGCUGUGGUUUUACUCACGACCAAUUCAUUUAUUGGCAUUAUGUUCUGGAUUUGAUGCAGUUGUUUAUGCGGCACCUGAGAGCCUGUUGAAUGUUGGGGUUGACAUGGGGACAAGGGAAUGGGUAAUGCAAGGUGUGUCCUCAGCCCUGACCAUUUUAAUCCGAUCUCAUUUUAGCUUGAGCUUGGAGUUUGAGGUAAUCCUUAAUGUUUUGGUCUGGGGAUAAUUUUGGCGGUUUUGAAAGCAAAAGGCUUCAUUCAACAAGCCAAAAUAAAAAAAGGCUAAUUUUUUUUAUGAAAUAACGUUAGUUCUUUUAUUUUACUUUUCUCAUAUGAAUGAAACCCAUAUAUAACCAAGUAUGCUUUAUCAUUACUGUCCUUUCUUAAUCAUUAGGAGCAAACAUUUUAUCAAACGGAGCCUGAAUUUGUAAUAUGUGCUUAUAAAAUAUAUUUGCAUAGAUACUGCUUAGCACCGCAGAGCAGCUGAGUUAAUAAACUGGUGUGCUUCUGGUGUUGCUGUCUUGGUUUGGAAUCCCUGGAUUGACCUGUUACCUACAAUAUAUAUGUGCCUUGAAAUUGUGGAUGUUUCUUAUGAUUGUUAUUCAUUGUUGUCCCGACUAUCUGGAACAAACCGACUCUUCGCAAGGGCAAGCCAGCAAGGCUUUGUGUUGCGCACACUUGACACUUUCUGAUACAAUUUCAGCAUCCACCCUGGAAUGCCAUUGGGACUUUUAUCUAAUAAAACUUGCUAGUUGCCCCUUCUGUAAUUUGUAUUCAAUGUCUGUUUUACUGGCAGAUUUCUAUAGCUUAAGGAGGGUUGUUGAAGCAGCCUCAGAGCGUGUUGAAGAGAUUAGAACUUCGGCUGGCAUCAGCAAUUAGAACAAGAACUUGCAGAUUUAGAAUUGAAAGCAGCUAAGAGCUCCUUUUGGGAUGACCGUGGUAGAGCUCAAGACUCUCAAGUCAUAUGCAUUCAUGUGUAACAGUAACGGCUUGAAAAUCAUAGAGGAACGAUCAUACACUGCAAGGUUAAAUGACCCAUAAAUCCCAUCAUCAAUCCAGUACUGAAUUUCCUCCUCUUAUCACUCGUUUCCCUAUCACAUUUGUCACCAUGGUGAAUGCAGUUUCAGCAAAGUGAUAAGAAAUAAAAAUAUGUGGAGGUGGGUAUGGUACGACGCUGAUGUGCGUGUAUAUAAGCUGCUAAUUGUUUUGGCCCCAGCUUCAACUGCUUGCAUGAAGGUAUUUGUUUAUGAAUCAGAGAAAAUUGAAGAAUUAUAAGCUGCUACAGAUGAAGCUAUUUGUUUAAUUACAAGUUGAUAUAUAUAUUAUAAAUUAUAAAUCAUAAAGUGAAUUAUGAUUUGGGCUGCUAAUCUUGAUGAGUUGAUAUAUUACCAAAUCAAGAAAUAUAAAAAUGUGUAGACGAGCUGUAUAUUGGAUUUUGCGUUUCAGAAUGUGAUCAAUAUGGAAUUUCAGAAACUUCCUAUGCAAUAUUAUAUCCUCUCUCUUUC